GGAGGAAUACCGGUGGCGAAGGCGGCCCCCUGNACAAAGACUGACGCUCAGGUGNGAAAGCGUGGGGGNCAAACAGGAUUAGAUACCCUGGUANNCCACGCCNUAAACGAUGUCGACUUGGAGGUUGUGCCCUUGAGGCGUGGCUUCCGGAGCUAACGCGUUAAGUCGACCGCCUGGGGAGUACGGCCGCAAGGUUAAAACUCAAAUGAAUUGACGGGGGCCCGCACAAGCGGUGGAGCAUGUGGUUUAAUUCGAUGCAACGCGAAGAACCUUACCUACUCUUGACAUCCAGAGAACUUAGCAGAGAUGCUUUGGUGCCUUCGGGAACUCUGAGACAGGUGCUGCAUGGCUGUCGUCAGCUCGUGUUGUGAAAUGUUGGGUUAAGUCCCGCAACGAGCGCAACCCUUAUCCUUUGUUGCCAGCGGUUAGGCCGGGAACUCAAAGGAGACUGCCAGUGAUAAACUGGAGGAAGGUGGGGAUGACGUCAAGUCAUCAUGGCCCUUACGAGUAGGGCUACACACGUGCUACAAUGGCGCAUACAAAGAGAAGCGACCUCGCGAGAGCAAGCGGACCUCAUAAAGUGCGUCGUAGUCCGGAUUGGAGUCUGCAACUCGACUCCAUGAAGUCGGAAUCGCUAGUAAUCGUAGAUCAGAAUGCUACGGUGAAUACGUUCCCGGGCCUUGUACACACCGCCCGUCACACCAUGGGAGUGGGUUGCAAAAGAAGUAGGUAGCUUAACCUUCGGGAGGGCGCUUACCACUUUGUGAUUCAUGACUGGGGUG
rnacentral:rRNA from 1 species